UACGUAGGGUGCGAGCGUUGUCCGGAAUUAUUGGGCGUAAAGGGCUCGUAGGCGGUCUGUCACGUCGGGAGUGAAAACCCAGGGCUCAACCCUGGGCCUGCUUCCGAUACGGGCAGACUAGAGGUAUGCAGGGGAGAAUGGAAUUCCUGGUGUAGCGGUGAAAUGCGCAGAUAUCAGGAGGAACACCGGUGGCGAAGGCGCCUUGCUGGCCAAUUACUGACGCUGAGGCGCGAAAGCGUGGGGAGCAAACAGG
rnacentral:rRNA from 1 species